GAUGAACGCUGGCGGCGUGCCUAAUACAUGCAAGUCGAGCGAACAGAUAAGGAGCUUGCUCCUUUGACGUUAGCGGCGGACGGGUGAGUAACACGUGGGUAACCUACCUAUAAGACUGGGAUAACUUCGGGAAACCGGAGCUAAUACCGGAUAACAUUUGGAACCGCAUGGUUCUAAAGUGAAAGAUGGUUUUGCUAUCACUUAUAGAUGGACCCGCGCCGUAUUAGCUAGUUGGUAAGGUAACGGCUUACCAAGGCAACGAUACGUAGCCGACCUGAGAGGGUGAUCGGCCACACUGGAACUGAGACACGGUCCAGACUCCUACGGGAGGCAGCAGUAGGGAAUCUUCCGCAAAGGGCGAAAGCCUGACGGAGCAACGCCGCGUGAGUGAUGAAGGGUUUCGGCUCGUAAAACUCUGUUAUUAGGGAAGAACAAAUGUGUAAGUAACUGUGCACGUCUUGACGGUACCUAAUCAGAAAGCCACGGCUAACUACGUG
rnacentral:rRNA from 1 species